rnacentral:rRNA from 1 species
UACAGAGGGUGCAAGCGUUACUCGGAAUUACUGGGCGUAAAGCGUGCGUAGGUGGUUGUUUAAGUCUGUUGUGAAAGCCCUGGGCUCAACCUGGGAAUUGCAGUGGAUACUGGACGACUAGAGUGUGGUAGAGGGUAGUGGAAUUCCUGGUGUAGCAGUGAAAUGCGUAGAGAUCAGGAGGAACAUCCAUGGCGAAGGCAGCUACCUGGACCAACACUGACACUGAGGCACGAAAGCGUGGGGAGCAAACAGG